GGACUACCGGGGUAUCUAAUCCCGUUCGCUCCCCUGGCUUUCGUGUCUCAGCGUCAGCACACUCCCAGCAACCUGUUUUCACCAUUGGCGUUCCAAACGAUAUCUACGCAUUUCACCGCUCCACCGUUUGUUCCGGUUGCCCCUAAGUGGCUCAAGACACCCAGUAUACCAAGCAGUUCCACGGUUGAGCCGUGGGAUUUCACAAGGUACUUAGGCAUCCGCCUACACACGCUUUAAGCCCAGUGAUUCCGCCUAACGCUCGGCACCUCUGUCUUACCGCGGCUGCUGGCAC
rnacentral:rRNA from 1 species